GGCGAAAUGGCCGAGUGGUUAUGGCGCUACGUUCAGGUUUGCUGAGUUCAAUUCCGUAGUCCGAAAGGGCGUGGGUUCGAAUCCCACUUUUGGCA
rnacentral:tRNA from 1 species